rnacentral:rRNA from 1 species
UACGUAGGGUGCAAGCGUUGUCCGGAAUUAUUGGGCGUAAAGAGCUCGUAGGCGGUCUGUCGCGUCGGAUGUGAAAAUCAGGGCUCAACCCUGGACCUGCAUUCGAUACGGGCAGACUAGAGUCGGUAGGGGAGACUGGAAUUCCUGGUGUAGCGGUGAAAUGCGCAGAUAUCAGGAGGAACACCGGUGGCGAAGGCGGGUCUCUGGGCCGAAACUGACGCUGAGGAGCGAAAGCGUGGGAGCAAACAGG